rnacentral:rRNA from 1 species
GUUCCGUGUGAACAGCCGUUGCACACGAGUCAGUCGAUCCUAAGCCCUAGGAGAAAUCCGAUGUCGAUGCGGGGGGCCGUUCCACGUGCUCCCCCUCGAUGGGCGAAAGGGAAUCCGGUUCCUAUUCCGGAACCCGGCAGCGGAACCGAAUCUACGGGCCCUCGUCAGAGAAGCUCGUCGGGGUAACCCAAAGGGACCCGGAGACGCCGUCGGGAGACCCGGGCAGAGUUUUCUGUUCUGCAUAAGCGUUCGAGUUCCCUGGAAUCCUCUAGCAGGGAGAUAGGGUUUGGAACGCGAAGAGCACCGCAGUUGCGGCGGUGUCCGGGUCGUCCCCUCGGACCUUGAAAAUCCGGGAGAGGGUCACGCGGAGGUGUCGCGCCGGCUCGUACCCAUAUCCGCAGCAGGUCUCCAAGGUGAAGAGCCUCUAGUCG